rnacentral:rRNA from 1 species
UCAGGCCUAACACAUGCAAGUCGAGCGGAAACGAGUUAUCUGACCCUUCGGGUGACGAUAACGGCGUCGAGCGGCGGACGGGUGAGUAAUGCCUGGGAAAUUGCCCUGAUGUGGGGGAUAACCAUUGGAAACGAUGGCUAAUACCGCAUAAUAGCUUCGGCUCAAAGAGGGGGACCUUCGGGCCUCUCGCGUCAGGAUAUGCCCAGGUGGGAUUAGCUAGUUGGUGAGGUAAGGGCUCACCAAGGCGACGAUCCCUAGCUGGUCUGAGAGGAUGAUCAGCCACACUGGAACUGAGACACGGUCCAGACUCCUACGGGAGGCAGCAGUGGGGAAUAUUGCACAAUGGGCGCAAGCCUGACGCAGCCAUGCCGCGUGUAUGAAGAAGGCCUUCGGGUUGUAAAGUACUUUCAGCAGUGAGGAAGAUGGGUAUGUUAAUAGUAUACUCAUUUGACGUUAGCUGCAGAAGAAGCACCGGCUAACUCCGUGCCAGCAGCCGCGGUAAUACGGAGGGUGCGAGCGUUAAUCGGAAUUACUGGGCGUAAAGCGCAUGCAGGUGGAUGAUUAAGUCAGAUGUGAAAGCCCGGGGCUCAACCUCGGAAUAGCAUUUGAAACUGGUCAUCUAGAGUACUGUAGAGGGGGGUAGAAUUUCAGGUGUAGCGGUGAAAUGCGUAGAGAUCUGAAGGAAUACCGGUGGCGAAGG